UUUAUCUAUUAAGAGCAUUUAGUGAAUGCCUAGACAGAAGAAGAUCAGGGACGUUAAACGCAACGAAACGCCAUAAGUAAGGUGCGAAAAUCCCGAGAACUAUGGAUUUCCCUUAAGGAAACUACAAGAUUACAUUUGACCUAGUGAACUGAAACAUCUAAGUAACUAGAGGAAAAGAAAUCAACCGAGACUCCGUUAGUAGUGGUGAGCGAACACGGAUUAGGCCUUCAUUCUUUCAAAAUUUUUUAUAUUGAAGUUGGUUGGAAAACCACGCCAAAGAAGGUGAUAGCCCCGUAAACCUAUGUUAAUUGGAAAAAGAAUGAAAACACGAGUAAAACGAAGAUCUCCUUUGUUUGAAUUAGGGGGACCACCCUCUAAGCCUAAGUACAUUCUUCUGAUCGAUAGUGAACAAGUACCGUGAGGGAAAGGUGAAAUAGACCCCUAAAUAGGGAGUGAAACAGAUCCUGAAACUGAAUGCUUACAAGCAGUCGAAGCUUUAAAAUAAAAGUAACGGCGUACCUUUUGCAUAAUGGGUCAGCGAGUAAAUUUAUGAAGCAAGCCUAAGCUCUUAGGUGGAGGCGGAGUUAAAGCAAGCUUUAAAAGAGCAAGUUAAUUGUUCCUUUUUUUUUUAGAGGAAUCAAACAAGUUUCUUAAAUUUGACCCGAAACCAAGCGAUCUAAUCAUGAGCAGGUUGAAAAAAUGAUAAUACGUUUUGGAGGACCGAACCCACAUCUGUGGCAAUAGAUGGGGAUGACUUGUGAUUAUGGGGUGAAAAGCCAAUCGAGCUUGGAAAUAGCUGGUUUUCUGCGAAAUCUAUUGAGGUAGAGCGUAUACAUGAAAAGUAAAAAGGAGGUAGAGCACUCGUUGGGUGAUGGUGGCCCAAAGCCUUACUGAUCCCAUGGAAACUCCGAAUACCUUGUUACUAUGUAUACAGACAGACUAGAGGCGCUAAGGUUUCUAGUCAAAAGGGAAACAACCCUGAUCGAACGCUAAGGUUCUCAAGCAAUUUCUGAGUGGUAAAGGAAGUUUCUAGGCGAAGACAACCAGGAGGUAGGCUUGGAAGCAGCCAUCCUUUUAAGAAAGCGUAAUAGCUCACUGGUCUGUUGACAACUGCUGACAACUACACGUAGUUGUCACUACGGAGUUGUCACUGUCUAGGAGCACCUAAAAUGUAUCGGAGCUCAAGAUAUUCACCGAAGCGGCGAUUUUCGUUCUUGUCCUUAAAACUUGGUUUUAAGGUAAAAAAUGAAAAGGUAGCAGAACGUUCUGUAAAUCAUUGAUGUUUCAUUGUAAAAUGAAAUUAAGAUAUCAGAAGUGAGAAUGCUGACAUGAGUAACGAAAAAUCAUGUGAAAAUCAUGAUAGCCGAAAGUCCUAGGUUUUCUACAGACCGUUUCUCGGUGUAGAGUGAAUCGGCCCCUAAGCUUAGAGCGAUAGCUUUUGAGUAAUGGGCACAAUGAUUAAGAUUCAUUGAUGUUUUAUCUAGUGACGGCCAAGAAGACACUGGGCAAGAUACUGGAUAUCUUGUUGCGUGACUUUCUGAUUUCAUUCUAAAUUCUUUGAAUUUGGAAUAGGAGAGGCAUUCUCUUUUUAAAAAGAGAAGACAGUGUCACAUGGUCCAGGAAAAAACUAGAUUUUUUCAAUUUUUUUCUUUAUUUGAAAAUUGGUCCAAUUUUCAACCGGUUCUUUUCUUUUCUAUUUUUAAAAAAAUAGAAAAGAAAAGAACCAUAAAGAAAAACAAAAAGAAAAGAAAAAAACACCGUACUUAAACCGACACUGGUGGACUUGUUGUAAAAACUAAGGCUAAGAGAGAAUCAUGUUGAAGGAACUCGGCAAAUUACCUCCGUAACUUCGGAAUAAGGAGGACAUGAAAUGUUUGUUUUUCAUUGUUCUUUUCUUUUACUUGAAAAGAAAAGAACAAUGAAAACAAAACUUCCAUGUGGCACAGAAUAGGGGGUGGCGACUGUUUACUAAAAACACAGGACUCUGCUAAGUGGUAACACGAUGUAUAGGGUCUGACACCUGCCCGGUGCUGGAAACUUAACAGGAAGGGUACGUCUCUUUUAGGAGACAAGCUCUGAAUUCAAGGCCCAGUAAACGGCGGCCGUAACUCUAGAAAAUCCGUUGGAGUUGUAAAAUUUGGCUAUAUGCUGGAAACCCUCGUCUAAAUUUAGACUACAUAAUACUACUUUAAUUUUUAUGUAACAAUGUCGACUUUUUUUUUAAUUUUUAGAAUUAAAAUGCGAGACAAUCAGCAGGAAAGACUUGAUUAUUAUGAAUUUAGUUUUAAAUAAAAUUUCAUUAAAUAAAGCAUAUUAUAUUACUGGAUUCGCUGAUGGCGAAGGGAGCUUUAAUACUAGUUUUCGAAAACGUGAUGAUUUUUUAAUUGGAUGGAAAAUUACUCCUGUAUUUAAUAUUUCUCAAAAAGAAAGAGAUAUAUUAGCUCUAAUCAAAAACCAUUUAGAGUGUGGGACUUUACGCUUUAGAAAAGAUGGUGUAUGGGCUUAUGAAGUUGAAACUCGUAGUGCACUUCAUGAAAACAUUCUACCUUUUUUUGAAAGAUUUCAAUUUCUUUCAACUAAAAAGAAAAAAGAUUUUAGUAGAUUUAAAAAAAUUAUAAAUGUUUUAGAAGGGAGUAAUACUACUACCCUCAAUGAUUUAAAAGAAAUCUUAAAAUUAGUUGAUGAAAUCGAAUCUAAGGCAAGUAGAAAAUUUACUAAUAAUGAAAUUUUAGAACGUGCCAAUGAAUUUUGGUCUAGAAAUCAAGAAAAAAUUUCUAUUUUAAAUGCUAAAUAAUCAAUUAUCCUCAGAGACUAAACGCCAAACAAUGUCUUUUUAAAAAUUACAUUGAUGAUAGAGUCCGAUCUCUUUAGUGAUAAAGAGGGUUUAUUUGUGGAAAAAUUAGUGCUACAUGUUUUCUAUAUCAAAUAACCGAUUAUAAUUCAAACAGAAUCUUCUGUUUGUACUAAUAAUUUAACAUAGUAGGUAAUGGACGGUCCUAAGGUUAAAUGCAUUUCAUUUACGCUCGACUUCUUUGAAAAUUUAUCCAAUUUUCAAACAAGUUAGAAUCGCUAGCCUUAGUAAAACUAAACUAUAUGCUGGAAACUCCUCAAAAACUGUGUACUACUCGUUAAGAUACUUUCACUCCUUUUUCAUUCCAAAUUUGAAAAAUUUGGAAACAACCAAGUGAGUGGUUCUUCAAUACAUGUAUUGAAGAACAAAUCAAGUAAAUUUUUGAAAGCUCUUUAUGAAAAUCAAAGGCGUUUUCUAAAACACUUUUCAGUAAAAAUGUACAAGGCAAGGGGACAAUCAGCAGGAAAGAUUUUUGAGGAAAUUCUUUCAAUCCAAAAUCUCCAGAUUUUAUACUAAAUUUUUGAAAUUUAGAAUAAGAAAGAGAAUCACUCAAAAAAAUCCCCAGAGACUAUACGUUUGGGGGUUUUUUGUUGCAAAAAAAAAGAAUUUAUGAAUUUACAAACAGAAUGGAUAGUAGGAUUUGUUGAUGGUGAAGGAUGUUUUCACAUUGGAAUCAAUCAGAACAACACUUUGAAAUGUGGAUACCAAGUUCUUCCUGAAUUUACAGUCACACAACAUAAACGAGAUAUUCAAGUACUUCAUGCACUUAAAAAAUAUUUUGGAUGUGGUGUUGUACGAGUGAAUCAUGGUGAUCGAUAUUGUUAUCGGGUUCGUGGAUUUCAACAUCUUCAAAAAAUUAUAGUUCCUUUUUUUGAAAAACACAAGUUACUUACUAAGAAACGUGUUGAUUUUGAAAAAUUUCGUACUGUAAUAAAUAUGAUAGAAGAAAAACGUCACCUCACUUCAGAAGGAUUAGUAAAAAUUCGUGAAAUUCAACAAACCAUGAAUACUAAAGAGAACAAAUCUCAAAAUUUUUAAAUUUGAUAAUUUCUUUUUUUUUUUUUUUAAGAACUAAAUAAAACAAACUCAACCAAUUCUUAAAGCACAAAAAAUCUAAGAUAGAGUCCAGCUUUUUAUGAAAAUAAAAAGAUUAACUGAGCGAAAUUCCUUGUCGGGUAAACGGAAACUUGCCCGAAAGUUUAGUAAUAAAUUGUGUUUCAAGUUUUAUAAAAUCAAUUAAUUUUUAUAAAGCCUUGUGAAAAUUGGAUCAAUUUUCAUUCCAAAUUUACUAAAUUUGGAAAAACUAGUAAAUCGACUCAUAACGGGGGAAGCCUACAAUUUGUGAUAAACAGGCAAAUCAUGGUAAUCCCGUGGGAAGUUUGAUAAUCGUAGUAGAAAACAUUAUAAAAAUCUUUUAUCAAACCCCGUAACGACUGAUCCGAAAGGAGAGGCUUUCUUUUUUAGAAGGCAACACGUCGACCCUUAUCAGUUUUCUUCCGAUUUUAUGGUUUUGAAAAAACCUACCAAGUCGAGAUAAGGUGAAGGUAUAGUCUGAUCUUUAUGGAAACAUAAAGUUAACACAGUCAUACAAACAAGAUUUGUGAGACAUGAAGUUCCGACCUGCAUGAAUGGUGUCACGACUUCCCCGCUGUCUCCAACAUGAUCUCAGUGAAAUUGAAUUCUCCGUGAAGAUGCGGAGUUCCCGAAAGUAGACGGUAAGACCCUAUGCACCUUUACUAUAAUUUAGCAUUGAAAAAAGAGUCUAAAUGUGUAGAAUAGGUGGGAGUUUUUUUUUCAGUUCAUUGAAGAAAAACAUCAAUGAAAUACCACCCUUUUUUUCUCAUUUUUCUAACCUUAAAAAAAAUCUUCCAAUUUUGUUCCAUUUUUUAUUAAAAAAUGGAAACAAAUUAGAAUAAUUUGGAACAGAAAAAGGGACCAUGUUAAAUGGGUAGUUUGACUGGGGCGGUCGCUUCCUAAAGAGUAACGGAAGUGUGCGAAGGUAAGCUCAAGCUGGACGGAAAUCAGCUGAAGAGCGUAAUGGUAGAAGCUUGCCUGACUGUAAGACUUACAAGUCAAGCAGAGACGAAAGUCGGCCAUAGUGACCCGGGAGUUCUUGGUGGAAAGGCUCUCGAUCAACGGAUCAAAGGUACGCUAGGGAUUAAUUCUGUUAGUCCUCGUUUUUUGUGAGAAGAACGUGCGUUUCUUGAGAAAACCUCUCAAGAUAAAAAAGACUGGGUGAAUUGCAAGAACGCUUCAGUGAUGAUCAUCACCAUGCCAACUUGCAGCGAAGCAUUUCAAAAGGAUACUACUGUAGAAAUGAACGUUCAACGACUAGAGAGUGAGAAUUUCCUAUCAAUAAUCUCUCCACGAGCGCCCAGCAACUCUCUUUACAGACUUUAUGACAUAAAAACCAACACAAUUUCAGAGAACCCUUCUUGAAGAAUAUAAAAAAAACCUCUCUUUAUCACAACAUCUUUUUGAUAUAAGUAUAGGGACGCUUCUAGGUGAUGCCUCAAUUCAAACUCAAAAUGGUGGAAAAACAUAUCGAUUGAAAUUUCAACAAUCGGAUGCUCGUCACCGUGACUAUUUAUGGCAUUUACAUAGUCUCUAUUCUGAGUGGGUUCUUUCUUCACGACCUUUUUAUGACCCAACACAAGCUAUGUGGUCAUUUCAAACGAUUUCUCAUAGUGAAUUUUGCUCAUUAGCAACACUUUUUAUUCUUGAUCGUGACGGAAAUCGAAGCCAAAAACAUAUUCAACACGGCCUUAUUGAGAAAUAUCUCACACCUCUUGAAAAUUGGACCAAUUUUCAAAAAGGUCUUGCGUAUUGGUUUAUGGACGAUGGAGGAAGAUUAAGUUAUAAUAAGGACUAUGAACGAAAAGGAUUUGUCUUAAACACUCAUAGUUUUUCUCAAAAUCAAGUAGAACUGUUGUGUCAAGGUUUAGAGGAAAAAUUUCGAUUAAAGUGUUGGCCUAAACAAAACAAAAAAAAUGGAUCAUUGUGAUCUCAGGUCAUGAUCAUGCGAAGAUGUUGGAUUUAAUCGGAGAGUAUGUGAUUCCAUCUAUGCGCCAUAAAGUCCCAAAAAGCACAGAGUUGAUGACAUAGUCUGAACUCUAUGGAAACAUAGAGAAAUAAAGGAUAAAGAGCCUUUAUGGUAACACAAUUGAACAGGCUGAUGACUCCCAAGAGCUCUUAUCGACGGAGUCGUUUGGCACCUUGUAAUGGGGUCCCAGAUUUGAAUAAAUCUGGUGAGAAUGAAGCUAUAUGCUGGAACCUCCGAUGUAUCUAGAGACGCUUGUCAAAAUCUGAGUUUCAGAUAUCUGACAGAAAAAGAAAUCUAGUGCGGACAAUCAGCAGGGAAGUACUUGAAAGUACCCCUCAACGACUACACGCUUCACUAUCAAAAGACUGAUACAUUUUCAAUGUGUCUUUCACUUGAAUACAUUUAGAAACACCUUUUGAUAGAUGAUAUAGUCUGAUCUUCUAAGCGAUUAGAAGGAUUCCUUAAACACUAAAGAGCUUUGGUGUUUUCUUUGCCGUUCACUUGGUUCCAUAUGGUUUGUUCCAUAUGGUUCCAAAUGUAUCAAAUUCUUUCAGUUGAUUUUAUUCCAUAAUUCUUCUAAUUUGGAAAUGAAAGAACCAAGUGAGGAAUCAACCCAAAAGUUUAAGGAACGUUGAGAUUUAUUUUUAUGCAAUUUAGUCAAUUACAAAAAGAAAUUUUAAUAGGAAUUUUAUUAGGUGAUGCAUCAUUAAGUUGGAACAGGAAUCAAACAAAAGCUCGUUUAUCACUUCGACAAAAAAAUAAAUUCUAUUUUGAUCAUUUAUGUGAUGUUUUUCAAAACUAUAUCACAGCAAAACCUCGUCAAAAUAAACAAACAGGUGUCUGGGAGUGUGAUACACGAUUUUUUUCAGAAUUUCGGUUCUAUAAAAAAGAAUUUUACACGUCCAAAUUUGACGAAUUUGGAAACCAAACCAACACCAAAAAGGUUCCUCGACUGAUUCAUCGAUGGUUAACACCACAAGCUCUUGCUUAUUGGUACAUGGAUGAUGGAAGUCAAAAAUGGAAAGGGCGUUCUUCAGGAGUAAGAUUCUGUACCGAUUGUUUUACACAUCAAGAAGUGAAAAGACUUGCGGCUGUGUUAACAACUCUCUAUGGAGUAAAAACUUCAACUUUUUUUCAACGUAAAACACUUAGAAUUUACAUAAGUGGUCGUGGAAAAAAUGCAAUCACUUUUGGGAAACUCUUGAUUCCCUUUAUUCAUCCUUCUAUGAUGUAUAAAAUUCCUACUUCUUGGUUUCAUAAAAAUCUAGAAAACAAAAAACUCAAUUAACAUUAUGCGAUUACAAAAGCCAUAGUCGAGGCUAAAGUGGGUGAAUUGCAAGAAUCUCUUUUUCGAUUACCCGAGAAAAAGACAAUUUGCAGCGAAGCAUUGUGAAUGGAAAAAAAAAGUAACAAUGAACGUUCAACGACUAGAGAGUGAGAACUUCCUAUCAAUACCCUCUCCACGAGCGCCCGCUACCAUAUUUUUUUGAAUUAUGAGUAAACUUAUAAAAAACACAAGAGAUGGAUAUCAUUUGAAUUCUCCCUAUUGGCAAAAUUAUAAAAAAACUCUCCCAAAAUUACCGCAAGACUGUUUUGAUACAGCCGCAGGAAUGAUUUUAGGUGAUGCCACAAUGUAGUACGCUAGUCGUGAAGCAUUGAUAAAAUUUGAGCAAGGGGUUAAACAAAAAGAAUUUCUGUUUCAUCUUUUCGAUUUGUUUUCAAGGUAUUGUUUUAUGGUAGAGCCUGGAAUCAGAUAUGAAAAAGAUAGAAAUGUGAAAAGUUAUUGGUUUAAAACGUUUUCUUUUCCUGAUUUUACUCAUUUAUUUCUUUUAAUUCACGAAAAAAUCAAUGGAAAAUGGAAAAAAAGAAUAAAGGAAGGACUUGUUCGUGACUUUUUAACUCCAAAAGGAUUAGCUUAUUGGAUUAUGUGUGAUGGAAGUCUGCAAAAAGAUAACCUUACGCUGAUUCUUGAUACUCAAAGUUUUUCUUUACAGGAAAAUUCUGUUUUAUCAACAGAAUUAAAUAAGAAAUUUUCUCUCCAUUAUCGUGUGAUUUUACAUAAAACACACUAUUAGGUGAUUGAAUUUCCUCGUCAAGAUAGUGAGAACCUCGCUGCUCUAAUCAAACAGUAUCUCAUCCCAAGUAUGCUUUAUAAACUUCCCAAUUCAAAAAAGUAAGGUAAUGACAUAGUCUGAGCUACUCUGUGAAGAGUAGAAAUUUAGGAUAAAGAGCCUAAAUGAUAACAUAACUGGUCGACUCAUCGCAUCCUCGAGCUGAAGAAGGUUCGAAGGGUUCGGCUGUUCGCCGAUGAAAGCGGUACGUGAGUUGGGUUUAGUACGUCGUAAACACACACAAAACUUUAUUGCGACCAUAAAGUGUGAACUUUAUGAAAAAUUCGCCUCAUAACGGUGGAGCCCUUUGAGUUUCGUACACUCAGAGGGGAAUACCGUGGGAAGUUUAAGAAAAAAACAAGAAAUUCUAAUUAUGCAGCAAAUUCUUUUAACACCUUUUCAAAAAUCUCUCCUUUAUGGAUCUCUUCUUGGUGAUGCUUCUUUGUAUCCCAAAGGAACAAUUCAAUUUGAACAAUCUCAUGUUCAUAAAGAGGAGAUUUUUUGGCUUUUUCAAGAAUUGAAAUCUCUCACAACAGGAAAACAACCGAGUUUGGUUACACGCUUUGAUAAACGAACUCAAUGUGAGUCUUACAGUUAUAGAUUUUACACUCGUAGUUUUUUUAGUCAGUAGAGAUCUCUUUUUUAUGAUGAAACAAAAAAAAAAAUUACCAAAAGAUUUUGAAAAAAAUUUAGAUGCUAUUGCUUUAGCUAUUUGGUUUCUUGAUGAUGGCGGUAGAAGUUCUGGUGUCCGUUCUGGAGUAAUUUUUACUGUUGAUAGUUAUACUUCAGAUGAGAUUACUCGAAUUCAAGAAACAUUCUUUGUCAAUUUUAGAAUUCAGACUCAAUCCUAUACAAGUGGGACUAGUAAAAAAGGUCUUGUUCAAAAACGUCUUGCAAUAAGUGGUUCAAAUUAUGUGACCUUUUACGCUUUAGUGUCACCACUGAUAAAAAAGAUUCCAAGCAUGGCUGAAAAAAAAAUUACCAGAUGUUUCACAUCUCUUAUAACCCCGUAACGACUUUGCUAGAAAUGGCAGGAUAGCUUGAUUUUGUAACAGACAAGUUAUAACACGGCGACUCUCGUUCUACCAACGAGAUGAUGGUAUAGUCUACGCCCUUAGUAAUAAGGGAAAUUCCUUGAGUGAUCAAGGGUUCCUAAGGUCAGAUUUUGUUUGAAAUGUUGAUGAUGGAAUCAAGUGGAGACAGUACGGAUCCUAUCUUUUUCGGGUGUGAAAAAUUGAGAGAACCAUUCCCUUGUACGAGAGGACCGGGAAUGACGAACCUCUAGUGUAUCAGUUGUUGCGCCAGCAGCAUCGCUGAGUAGCUACGUUCGGAACGUAGAACUGCUGAAAGCAUCUCAAGCAGGAAUUCGUUUCUCAAAACAAGUUUUUGAGUUCGUAGAAGACUACUACGUAAUAGGCGAAAUGUAUAUUCAUAGUGAUAUG
rnacentral:rRNA from 1 species